rnacentral:rRNA from 1 species
UACGUAGGGGGCUAGCGUUGUCCGGAAUCAUUGGGCGUAAAGCGCGUGUAGGCGGUCCGGUAAGUCCGCUGUGAAAGUCGGGGGCUCAACCCUCGAAAGCCGGUGGAUACUGUCGGGCUAGAGUACGGAAGAGGCGAGUAGAAUUCCUGGUGGUAGCGGUGGAAUGCGCAGAUAUCAGGAGGAACUACCCAUAGCGAAGGCAGCUCGCUGGGACGUUACUG